rnacentral:pre_miRNA from 1 species
UAUUUAAAAAUCUAUCUAUUUGUACAGUUAAAAAUUAACGUGUAAGAUAGAAUCAUGCUAAAAUACAGGGACUAGUUUUUAACCGUAAAAAUAGAUGGAUUUUUUACAA